rnacentral:rRNA from 1 species
GACGAACGCUGGCGGCGUGCUUAACACAUGCAAGUCGAACGGAAAGGCCCUGCUUUUGUGGGGUGCUCGAGUGGCGAACGGGUGAGUAACACGGGAGUAACCUGCCCUUGACUUUGGGAUAACUUCAGGAAACUGGGGCUAAUACCGGAUAGGAGCUCCUGCUGCAUGGUGGGGGUUGGAAAGUUUCGGCGGUUGGGGAUGGACUCGCGGCUUAUCAGCUUGUUGGUGGGGUAGUGGCUUACCAAGGCUUUGACGGGUAGCCGGCCUGAGAGGGUGACCGGCCACAUUGGGACUGAGAUACGGCCCAGACUCCUACGGGAGGCAGCAGUGGGGAAUAUUGCACAAUGGGCGGAAGCCUGAUGCAGCAAUGCCGCGUGCGGGAUGACGGCCUUCGGGUUGUAAACCGCUUUCGCCUGUGACGAAGCGUGAGUGACGGUAAUGGGUAAAGAAGCACCGGCUAACUACGUG